AACGAACGCUGGCGGCAGGCUUAACACAUGCAAGUCGAACGCCCCGCAAGGGGAGUGGCAGACGGGUGAGUAACGCGUGGGAAUCUACCUAGUUCUACGGAACAACAGUUGGAAACGACUGCUAAUACCGUAUACGCCCUAUGGGGGAAAGAUUUAUCGGAAUUAGAUGAGCCCGCGUAAGAUUAGCUAGUUGGUGGGGUAAUGGCCUACCAAGGCGACGAUCUUUAGCUGGUCUGAGAGGAUGAUCAGCCACACUGGGACUGAGACACGGCCCAGACUCCUACGGGAGGCAGCAGUGGGGAAUAUUGGACAAUGGGCGCAAGCCUGAUCCAGCCAUGCCGCGUGAGUGAUGAAGGCCUUAGGGUUGUAAAGCUCUUUCAGUAGGGAAGAUAAUGACGGUACCUACAGAAGAAGCCCCGGCUAACUUCGUGCCAGCCGCCGCCGUAACAC
rnacentral:rRNA from 1 species